UACGAAGGGGGCUAGCGUUGUUCGGAUUAACUGGGCGUAAAGGGUGCGUAGGCGGGGUUUUAAGUCAGGGGUGAAAUGCCGAGGCUCAACUUCGGAACUGCCUUUGAUACUGGAACUCUUGAGUCUGGGAGAGGUGAGUGGAACUGCGAGUGUAGAGGUGAAAUUCGUAGAUAUUCGCAAGAACACCAGUGGCGAAGGCGGCUCACUGGCCCGGAACUGACGCUGAGGCACGAAAGCGUGGGGAGCAAACAGG
rnacentral:rRNA from 1 species